GACUGUGGGAGAUUCUGCUUGA
rnacentral:miRNA from 1 species